rnacentral:rRNA from 1 species
UACGGAGGGUGCAAGCGUUAUCCGGAUUCACUGGGUUUAAAGGGUGCGUAGGUGGGUUGGUAAGUCAGUGGUGAAAUCUCCAGGCUUAACUUGGAAACUGCCAUUGAUACUAUCAAUCUUGAAUGCCGUGGAGGUCAGCGGAAUAUGUCAUGUAGCGGUGAAAUGCUUAGAUAUGACAUAGAACACCAAUUGCGAAGGCAGCUGGCUACACGAAUAUUGACACUGAUGCACGAAAGCGUGGGGGAUCAAACAGG